rnacentral:rRNA from 1 species
AGUUUGAUUAUGGUAACCAGUUGAACGCUGGCCGGAUCGCACAUGCAAGUCGAACGGCAGCACGGACUUCGGUCUGGUGGCGAGUGGCGAACAGGUGAGUAAUGUAUCGGAACGUGCCUAGUAGCGGGGGAUAACUACGCGAAAGCGUAGCUAAUACCGCAUACGCCCUUCGGAAAGCGGGGGACCUUCAGGCCUCGCACUAUUAGAGCGGCCGAUAUCCCGGAUUAGCUAGUUGGUGGGAAGUAACGGCUCACCAAGGCGACGAUCCGUAAGCUGGUUUAGAAGAGGACGACCAGCCACACCUGGGACUGAGACACAGCCCAGACUCUACAGAGCAACCGGUGGGGAAUUUUGGACAAUGGGGGAAACCCUGAUCCAGCCAUCCCGCGUGUACAUUAGAGGCCUUCGGGUUGUAAAGCACUUUUGGCAGGAAAGAAACGGCACGGGAUAAUACCCCGUGCAACUGACAGUACCUGCAGAAUAAGCACCGGCUAACUACGUGCAGCAGCCGCAGUAAUACGUAGGGUGCAAGCGUUAAUCGGAAUUACUGGGCGUAAAGCGUGCAUAGAGCGUUGGAAGAAAGAUGUGAAAUCCAGAGCUUAACUUUGGAACUACAUUUUUAACUACCGAGCUAGAAAUUAUCAGAGGGAGGUGGAAUUCCGCGUAUGGCAAUCGAUACGGCAAUCUGCGGAGGAACACCGAUGGCGAAGGCAGCCUCCUGGGAUAACACUGACGCUCAUGCACGAAAGCGAUGAGGCAAACGGAUUAGAUACCCGCAGUAGUCGCUAAACAGGUAUAACUAGCUGUUGGGGCCUUCGGGCCUUGGUAGCGCAGCUAACGCAGUUGACCGCCUGGGGAGGUACGGUCGCAAGAUUAAAGCUCAAGGUGUGAGGGCCCGCACAAGCAGUGGAUGAUGUGGAUUAAUUCGAUGCAGCGCGAAAAACCUUACCUACCCUUGACAUGUCACAGAAUCCCCGAAGAUUUAGGAGUGCUCGCAAGAGAACAGAACACAGAUGCUGCAUGGCUGUCGUCACAGCUCGUUGUCGUGAGAUGUUAGGUUAAGUCCGCAACGAGCGCAACCCUUGUCAUUAGUUGCUACGAAAGGGCACUCUAAUGAGACUGCCGGUGACAAACCGGGGGAAGGUGGGGAUGACGUCAAGUCCUCAUGGCCCUUAUGGGUAGGGCUUCACACGUCAUACAAUGGUCGGGACAGAGGGUCGCCAACCCGCGAGGGGAGCCAAUCCCGAGCCCGAUCGUAGUCCGGAUCGCAGUCUGCAACUCGACUGCGUGAAGUCGGAAUCGCUAGUAAUCGCGGAUCAGCAUGUCGCGGUGAAUACGUUCCCGGUCUUGCCUUACCACUGCCGUCACACCAUGGGAGUGGGUUUUACCAGAAGUAGUUAGCCUAACCGUAAAGGAGGCGAUUACCACGGUAGAGUUCAUGACUGGGGUGAAGUCGUAACAGGUAG